CUUCAGAGGAAACAGUGCACUGUUCCUGUCGUCAUGGUGGAGGAGGAAGGAACAAGGAAAAUAGAGACUCUGCCACAUUCAAAGAUCUUUCGAUGCAUGUGCUGGGAUAAACAAUGGGGAAAUCAGAGGCUUAUGGAGGCUUCAUGGAAAAGAGAAAAUAAGAGGCCACUUUAAACUUCCUGGAAUUAACACAAUUGAAGUAAUCUCAAUUCAGCAUCAUACCGCGGGCCUUAUUUUGCAAGCCUACCAUCACUUUUCUUACAGAGCUCAAGAUUUAGACAACCUUUUAAAAACAAAUAUCUAAAACCAAUUACAGUACUGCAGGACAUGACCAUAA